AGCAGUGAAUUGUUAAUAUAUAGAAUAGUUUCUUUUAAGGGGGGAUUCUCAUGUAACGAGUCAAAAAAUUUUUUUUGCUUAAAUCAACUCUAAUACAUGUGGAAAAUAUGUUCCUAAAGUUACAAAUCGAUAUUCGACCUCUACGUAUAGUUAUAGUCGAGUUUUCGACCGCGCGUUGAGUAGGUAGCUGGGAGCGCUCGGAGCGGAGACACACGUCUCGUCUGUCCUCACUCAUACACUCGUACAUAACAAACAGCUUCGCAGGUAUACGUCUAAUGGUUUUCUUUUGUUGUGAUAUACCUUCGCGUACUUGUAUAGCUGAGGCAGGAAAUUUUUACGAGAGCUUCAAUUCGUGUGUUUGGCGUUUGGCUCCGAAAUAUUUAUAUUGUGGCAUCCGAACAGUGGAAAUAGCCGCAUAUAUUGCUGCAGGAUUAUUCAACGAAGGCUAUUUCGCCGUUUUAAAAAUUAUGGACACAUUAGAACUAAAGAUCGGUACCCAUUGUAAGGAGUAUGCAGACUCGUAUGACGCCGCGCGAAUACGGCAACAGGAGUGACGAAGCCUCAGUAGCUCGAAAGAAGCUCGAACUGCUCGCAAAGAACUGAAUUUACAACAGCAGCAAUUAUACGAGGAUGCAGAAGGCCUACUAUAUGGUCCUGGAAUCGCCGAUUAGGACUACCUUUACAGCGGAUGCUAGACUGCACACCGUUUGACGCCUGCGACGCCGAAGCCGCUGAAGGCGGCGUCCAUACCUAUAUCUAUAUAUAUGUUUUUUUUAACCAAAAAAAUAUUUUUAUAUUCUCUUUACAUGUAUUGAUGUACUAUUAAAGUUUGAGAUCCUUUGACUAAAUACGUUCUUGAA
rnacentral:lncRNA from 1 species